UACGGGGGGGGCAAGCGUUGUUCGGAAUUACUGGGCGUAAAGGGCUCGUAGGUGGCCAACUAAGUCUGUCGUGAAAUCUCCCGGCUUAACUGGGAGGGUGCGGCGGAAACUGGAGUGCUCGAGGAUGGGAGAGGUAAGCGGAAUUCCUGGUGUAGCGGUGAAAUGCGUAGAUAUCAGGAGGAACACCGGUGGCGAAGGCGGCUUGCUGGGCCUUACCUGACGCUGAGGAGCGAAAGCGUGGGGAGCGAACAGG
rnacentral:rRNA from 1 species